AGAGUUUGAUCAUGGCUCAGGAUGAACGCUGGCGGCAUGCCUAACACAUGCAAGUCGAACGAGAGUAGCAAUACUCGAGUGGCGAACGGGUGAGUAACACGUGAGCAACCUGCCUUACACAACGGGAUACCUACUGGAAACAGUAGUUAAUACGGUAUAAGACCACAGUACCGCAUGAUACAGUGGUAAAAGAUUUAUCGGUGUAAGAUGGGCUCGCGGCGCAUUAGCUAGUUGGUGGGGUAACGGCUCACCAAGGCGACGAUGCGUAGCCGACCUGAGAGGGUGAUCGGCCACAUUGGGACUGAGACACGGCCCAAACUCCUACGGGAGGCAGCAGUGGGGAAUAUUGGGCAAUGGGGGGAACCCUGACCCAGCAACGCCGCGUGAGGGAAGAAGGUUUUCGGAUCGUAAACCUCUGUCCUUGGUGAAGAGGAAGAGACGGUAGCCAAGGAGGAAGCCCCGGCUAACUACGUGCCAGCAGCCGCGGUAAUACGUAGGUGGCAAGCGUUGUCCGGAAUUACUGGGUGUAAAGGGAGCGUAGGCGGGUCGGCAAGUCAGAAGUGAAAAUUAUGGGCUCAACUCAUAACCUGCUUUUGAAACUGUCGGUCUUGAGUGAAGUAGAGGCAAGCGGAAUUCCUAGUGUAGCGGUGAAAUGCGUAGAUAUUAGGAGGAACACCAGUGGCGAAGGCGGCUUGCUGGGCUUUUACUGACGCUGAGGCUCGAAAGCGUGGGGAGCAAACAGGAUUAGAUACCCUGGUAGUCCACGCCGUAAACGAUGAUUACUAGGUGUGGGGGGAUUGACCCCUUCCGUGCCGCAGUUAACACAAUAAGUAAUCCACCUGGGGAGUACGACCGCAAGGUUGAAACUCAAAGGAAUUGACGGGGGCCCGCACAAGCAGUGGAGUAUGUGGAUUAAUUCGAAGCAACGCGAAGAACCUUACCGGGUCUUGACAUCGAGUGACCGCCCAAGAGAUUGGGUUUUCUCUUCGGAGACACGAAGACAGGUGGUGCAUGGUUGUCGUCAGCUCGUGUCGUGAGAUGUUGGGUUAAGUCCCGCAACGAGCGCAACCCUUAUGAUUAGUUGCUACGCAAGAGCACUCUAAUCAGACUGCCGUUGACAAAACGGAGGAAGGUGGGGAUGACGUCAAAUCAUCAUGCCCUUUAUGACCCGGGCCUCACACGUACUACAAUGGCGUAAACAAAGGGAGGCAGAGUCGUGAGGCCGAGCAAAUCCCAAAAAUAACGUCUCAGUUCGGAUUGUAGUCUGCAACUCGACUACAUGAAGCUGGAAUCGCUAGUAAUCGCGAAUCAGAAUGUCGCGGUGAAUACGUUCCCGGGUCUUGUACACACCGCCCGUCACACCAUGGGAGUCGGUAACGCCCGAAGUGCGUGACCUAACCCCUGGUGCAGAUGAACCGCGAGGGCAAGCGAACUUGUUUCGCUUGCAUUCGAAAAAAGGAUACGACACGGUUCGUAUGCAGCAGGGGGAAGGAGCGUCCGAAGGCGGGACUGAUAACUGGGGUGAAGUCGUAACAAGGUAGCCGUAUCGGAAGGUGCGGCUGGAUCACCUCCUU
rnacentral:rRNA from 1 species